UACGUAGGGUGCAAGCGUUAAUCGGAAUUACUGGGCGUAAAGCGUGCGCAGGCGGUUAUGCAAGACAGAUGUGAAAUCCCCGGGCUUAACCUGGGAACUGCAUUUGUGACUGCAUAGCUAGAGUACGGUAGAGGGGGAUGGAAUUCCGCGUGCAGCAGUGAAAUGCGUAGAUAUGCGGAGGAACACCAAUGGCGAAGGCAAUCCCCUGGGCCUGCACUGACGCUCAUGCACGAAAGCGUGGGGAGCAAACAGGAUUAGAAACCCGGGUAGU
rnacentral:rRNA from 1 species